GCACAGGGGUGGCCGCCAAUAGCAUCUCAGGACUCAGGACUGACUUCAGGCUGACACCUCUGGCUCCAGGAAGGACAUUAUCUAGAUUAUGCAUUGUUUCACUCUCGUGGAAAUUAGCCGCUGCUUCUUGUAUAAAUAACUAAUAAUGAGCAGCCGUAUUCUCCCUAUUGGAGUCUGAUUAUGACCUUGGAGACACCUGGGGGCUCAACCUGGGCUGAUGCUGCUGUCUGCGGCCCUGACAGAUCACUGUUCCCUCCAUUUCCUGGUGAAAUACUCCUCAUGCAGGGGUCCUGUUUUCAUUAUCCAGUGUGUGUGUGUGUGUGUGUGUGUGUGUGUGUAGCUUGCAUCCUUUCUCUCCUAAUUAAGGGGAAUUCCCUGUAACUGGUGAGCGGCGGGGACAAGGAGGUGAGGGACUGGGGACAAGCACAGAGCUGCAGGGGAAAAUGAGACGCCCAGGCCUCUGGCCACAGCCUGUCCUCAGCCUUUGCCUCUACGGGAUGGCACAAGUGGGGCCUGGAAACAUCUCCAGCCCAUUUCAUGGACACAGUCACUCCAGUUUGUCAGGCUGUCCCGUUUGCAGGAAAAACACAAAGGAAGUGUUGUCGCCGUAAAAGAUGAUCCUAUUUUCAAGUCCUGUGGGGGGUGGGGGGGAAAUAACAACAAAACUAAAUCAAAGGAAGAGAAGAAGAAAGCCCAGAUGCUGCCGGAUGUCCACAACAUUCAGCAAAGCGGGUGGCAAACAGCCAGCGGCAGCGGGCCUGCGAGCUGGACAUCUCCCUGCAGCCGCGCCGUGGAGGCCUCUGUGGUUCUGUCUGUACACCGCGUGCUCUCAGGUGGGACAACCAGAGACACUUCUUUCCUGACAUGUCAAGUGUUUCAUUUCCUUCUUAACAUGUUUUAAAAUGAAGCACACGCCUCCCCACACGGAGGCCCGAGUCAAACCCUAUUUGCCUUCAUCUCACAGCAAUUAAUCCAGCCAGAGGUGGUCGUCUCAGACACACAGGCGGUCCUUGUCGCACAAGAGAGGGGAGACAGGGCAGGAUGGAGAACUCGAUGAAGCCUCCACCUGGGUGUCCUUGUGGUUGGUCCGCCGAGCCUCUGAAAGGCCUGUGUACUGCCGUGCGUGUUUUUCUAACGAUAAU
ensembl:lncRNA